rnacentral:rRNA from 1 species
GACGAACGCUGGCGGCGUGCUUAACACAUGCAAGUCGAACGGAAAGGCCCUGCUUUUGUGGGGUGCUCGAGUGGCGAACGGGUGAGUAACACGUGAGUAACCUGCCCUUGACUUUGGGAUAACUUCAGGAAACUGGGGCUAAUACCGGAUAGGAGCUCCUGCUGCAUGGUGGGGGUUGGAAAGUUUCGGCGGUUGGGGAUGGACUCGCGGCUUAUCAGCUUGUUGGUGGGGUAGUGGCUUACCAAGGCUUUGACGGGUAGCCGGCCUGAGAGGGUGGACGGCCACAUUGGGACUGAGAGACGGCGCAGACUGCUACAGGGGACAGCGGUGGGGAGUAUUGCACAGUGGGCGGAAGCCUGAUGCAGCAACGCCGCGUGCGGGAUGACGGCCUUCGGGUUGUAAACCGCUUUCGCCUGUGACGAAGCGUGAGUGACGGUAAUGGGUGAAGAAGCACCGGCUAACUACGUG